UCAAAAACAUCGCCGAAAAUUUCUCUCGGUAAAAUCUGCCCGGUGAAUUUUAACGGCCGCAGUAUCCUAACUGUGCUAAGGUAGCAUAAUCAUUUGCUUCUUAAUUGGAAGCUAGCAUGAAUGAUUCGACGAGAAGUUACCUCUCUCGCUAAUUCCGCAAACUUUCUUAGAAGGUAAAAAAGCCUUCAACUUCCAGUAGGACGACAAGACCCUAUAAAACUUUACUCGAAAGGUACGACCUUCUCAAGAGAAAUUCCAAUUACUUCCGAGUUUUGCUGGGGCGGCAAAUUCUAAUUUAAACAAACUUCACCCUAACAACUUGAUUGAUUUCUCCCAACACCUCUUAGUAAUAAAAUUCAAGUUACUUUAGGGAUAACAGCGCAAUGAGUUUCUAGAGUCCUUAUCGACAAACUCGUUUACGACCUCGAUGUUGAAUUGAAAACCCCCUCUGGAGCAGAAACUAGAAAGGGAAGUCUGUUCGACUUUUAAUUAUUCACAUGAUCUGGGUUUCAAACCGGA
rnacentral:rRNA from 1 species